CCUUUUCCUUUGAAGUAGGCUCUUGUUAAAUUUCAAUAGACACUGGUUGAUCUCAGGAACUGCAGCCCCAAUUCGCUUCCUUGAUGCUCCAAACUCCACAGGUGGAGCAGAGGGAAGGGAAUAUGUGUUUGCCCAUGUGGGCACAAAGUGAGGUUCUGGUUGCUGAGGAAGCAAGUGCUAAUGAUCCUGCUUUAGACUAAUUACAACCCACAAGGACUGCAGGGCUGGGAACUCAUUAAUGUCUUCGCUGGUGUUGGUCUUUGUGUCUCUUCCAGUGUUGGCAAGAAUCAUGCUUUUUGUUCUCAUUUAGGUCUUUCAAUCUGGAUAAGGUCAAUGGGUUUGGUUUUGUUUUGAGUUUCCUAAUUUCCAGGAAAACAACUUAAGUGAAAUCAGAAGGGAAAAAUUCAUCCUUCCCUCCUGCUUGAGUGGAGCUGGGAGUGUGAACGAGCUUUGAUGAGCCCCAGCAUGAGCAGCAGUGGCUUCCCUGGGGACUGAAAGCUCACAUUGCUGCAGCUGAGAGCAGCCUCAGGGUUUACCACGACCAGACUGACCCCAUCCUGUGGUUCCCUGCUGGCAGAAUGAUGUUCUACAGAAGACCCUUCCCAGGAAAAUAUUUGGGCUCCUCAGCCUGCAUUGCCCCGGUGGGAUAAGACCACCGGGAUCGUGGUGGUUUCUGCGUGGCUGACAACUUGGGAA